rnacentral:lncRNA from 1 species
GACUUUCCACAAAUCGCGAUACAUCUUAGUAGCUUUUAGGUGUAUAGAGUAACGCACACCAUGCUUUUCUACAAGAAUUUGCUGUCUCAAAUCAUCAACACACAAAACAUAUAAAUGCCCUAGCAACGCAACACACCAUCUCCCUCUUGGGAGAAAACCUUUACUUUCUGGUCUCUAACUAAUUCCUUCAACUUAAUUGGACUCGGAUCCCUGUCU